rnacentral:rRNA from 1 species
CAUAACGAUUUAUCGCUAUGAACGAGUGGCGCACGGGUGCGUAACGCGUAUGCAACCUACCCUGUACAGGGGGAUAGCCCGUGGAAACAUGGAUUAAUACCCCAUAGUAUUAUAUUACUACCUGGUAAAAUGAUUAAAGAUUUAUCGGUACAGGAUGGGCAUGCGUCUGAUUAGUUAGAUGGUGAGGUAACGGCUCACCAUGACAGCGAUCAGUAGCGGGUCUGAGAGGAUGAUCCGCCACACUGGUACUGAGACACGGACCAGACUCCUACGGGAGGCAGCAGUAGGGAAUAUUGGUCAAUGGGCGGAAGCCUGAACCAGCCAUGCCGCGUGAAGGAAGACGGCCUUCUGGGUUGUAAACUUCUUUUAUCAGGGAACAAAAAGCUCCUGCGGGGGCCAUUGAGUGUACCUGAAGAAUAAGCACCGGCUAACUCCGUGCCAGCAGCCGCGGUAAUACGGAGGGUGCUAGCGUUGUUCGGAAUUACUGGGCGUAAAGGGCGCGUAGGCGGCUGGAUAAGUCAGAUGUGAAAGUCCAUGGCUCAACUGUGGAAGUGCAUUUGAAACUGUCUGGCUUGAGUAUCGGAGGGGAGUGUGGAAUUCCCGGUGUAGAGGUGAAAUUCGUAGAGAUCGGGAGGAACACCGGUGGCGAAGGCGACACUCUGGACGAAUACUGACGCUGAGGCGCGAAAGCGUGGGGAGCAAACAGGAUUAGAUACCCUGGUAGUCCACGCCGUAAACGAUGUGAACUAGAGGUAGGUGGUGUUGAUCCCACCUGUCUCGCAGCUAACGCAUUAAGUUCAC